UACAGAGGUGGCAAGCGUUGUUCGGAAUUACUGGGCGUAAAGGGCGCGUAGGCGGUUCGUUAAGUCCUGUGUGAAAUCCCCCGGCUCAACUGGGGAACUGCACAGGAAACUAGCGGGCUUGAGUUCGGGAGAGGGAAGCGGAAUUCCGGGUGUAGCGGUGAAAUGCGUAGAUAUCGGAAGGAACAUCAGUGGCGAAGGCGAUUUUCUGGACAGAUACUGACACUGAGGCACGAAAGCGUGGGGAGCAAACAGG
rnacentral:rRNA from 1 species